UAGGGAAUAUUGGUAAUGUGCGAAAGCGCGAACCAGCAACGCCGCGUGCACGAUGAAGGCCUUCGGGUUGUAAAGUGCUUUUAGAGAGGAUGAGGAAGGACAGUACUUUCUGAAUAAGCCUCGGCUAACUACGUGCCAGCAGCCGCGGUAAAACGUAGGAGGCUAGCGUUAUCCGGAUUUACUGGGCGUAAAGCGCGUGCAGGUGGUUUCGUAAGUUGGAUGUGAAAGCUCCUGGCUUAACUGGGAGAGGUCGUUCAAAACUGCGAGGCUUGAGAGUGGUAGAGGGAGGUGGAAUUCCGGGUGUAGUGGUGAAAUGCGUAGAUAUCCGGAGGGACACCUGUGGCGAAAGCGGCCUCCUGGACCAUUUCUGACACUCAGACGCGAAAGCUAAGGUAGCAAACG
rnacentral:rRNA from 1 species